GCAAAAGUGUGAAAGUUUAAUAAUACAAAACUGAGAUGAAACAAAAGAAAGAAAAUAAUUAUUUCCUGAAGAGAAGGGGCCAUGUAAGUUUGCUGUUACAGAAUGUUUUGCGCAUGUCUCUAUACAAUGUAGAAAAUUGUAAUAAAGGAUUUCCAAAAUUAUAACUAAUGAGAACUUUUCCACAUUCUUGAUUCCUACAAAAAAAAAAAAAAAAAAAAUUACCCCCAAAAUUGCAAUACCUAGAUUGAAACCCAGGCUGAACCUGAAAGAAUAAUACAUUCGGGUACAAGGAAAGUACCCAACUCGGAUGGGAUAUGAUUGGCGAGGAUUACAAUAUUUUAGGAUUGCGAACCGCAAGGACCAACAAAGGCUUUAAUAUAUGUUCCCAAAAUAAGAUUAUCAAUGGAUUCCGGACAAUCCAUUAACUAAACAAAUCGCAAAGCUCUCAACUAAACAAGCAAAGAAAUUUCAAAGAAAUUUCGGAGAAGCCAUUACACAAAAAAGGAAUUUGAGAAAUUUCAAAAAAGCCAAAUCUCAAAGUUAUUACACUACCAAAUUCCUUAGAGAAAUCUUACACAAGAUUUUGAAAUAUGGAGAUCAGCAACAACCCUAAGCCCAAAAAUCAAAAUCCCCGAUUGAAUUUUGAUGGCCACAGAGCUCCAACGAAAAGAGAGUUUUGACUUUUGAAAAGUGAAAUUAAAAGAAAUAUAGCACUUCCAUCAGGGAUUUCCAGAAACCAACAAUACUAAUUUGCUUCAUAGUUACAAGAUAAGCCAAAUUUUAGAGGAGAGGAUGGAUGGGAUAAUCCUGUAGAGUGGGUAAAACUUGAAAAAAUAUAUUUUAGCGAAACAUUUUAGGCCAUAAUUAUUCGGCCAAAUUUUAGGGGAAAAUUUGAGCGGAAAUAUUUAAGGGACUUUACA
rnacentral:lncRNA from 1 species